rnacentral:rRNA from 1 species
AUUGAACGCUGGCGGCAGGCCUAACACAUGCAAGUCGAGCGGACGACGGGAGCUCGCUCCUUGAUUCCGCGGCGGACGGGCGAGUAAUGCCUAGGAAUCUGCCCGGCAGCGGGGGACAACGUGUCGACAGGAACGCUAAUACCGCAUACGACCAUCGGUAGAAAGCAGGGGACCUUCGGGCCUUGCUCUCUCAGAUGAACCUAGGUCGGAUUAGCUAGUUGGUGGGGUAAGGGCUCACCAAGGCGACGACCCGUAACUGGCCUGAGAGGAUGAUCAGUCACACUGGAACUGAGACACGGUCCAGACUCCGACGGGAGGCAGCAGUGGGGAAUAUUGGACAAUGGGCGAAAGCCUGAUCCAGCCAUGCCGCGUGUGUGAAGAAGGUCUUCGGAUUGUAAAGCACUUUAAGUUGGGAGGAAGGGAAGUAAGCUAAUACCUUGCUGUUUUGACGUUACCGACAGAAUAAGCACCGGCUAACUCUGUGCCAGCCGCCGCAGUAAAAC